ensembl:lncRNA
GUUGUUUAAUGGAUGGGCCAUUUAAACCUGGUUCAAAAUGUUGUUUUUUUUAUUUUACCACUUCUAUUAUUAUGGUGGUUAUCAGUACAUUUGAAAGUCUAAAAUAAACAGGCACUAAUAUGCCAUUGCAUAAUACCUGAAACACUGUCACAUUGUUUUAUUGCAGUGGUUUUUUGACAACCACACAUGACUUAACAGGACAUUUUAAGGCAGCUCACUAGAUUUCAGAACAGAGCUAGCAUGUUGUCAGAGUGCCGCCUAGUCAAUUAGCAAAAUUGUUUUAAGGGAGUGUUUAGGAAUUGUUUUGCUACUCGUUUUCGCAGCCCCCCGUCCUCAUCAGCACUUGCUUUCUUUGGGCUUGGCAGCUAAUCAGUUGCAGGUGGGCCUGGAGCCCCUCUUGGGUGCUCUGAGGUGGUAGAGCGCGCUCCCUGAGUGUCCCCUCACCUUAACCCAACCCUGCUAAUCAAUCCACUGCUGAUAGCACACGAGACACGACAUCCUUCUCAUAGAUCCACUCGCUGUGUCUGUGUACCUCAAAUCAGCAGAGCAGCAGAACGGUGGAAUCUGUUGAACUGUGGACAUGCUGAUCUGAGGGAAGACAAAGAGAGACACAUGAAUGGACAGAUAGAAAGAAAGGAAGCCAAGGAGGAAAAACCACCAGAAGUUGAGGCAGCAGCAGCAGCAGCAGAAGCAGAAGCAGCACGAGAAACAUCAGGAAGGCUUGAAGCAGACGUAUAAUAAGACGACCUCGCAAGGCAUAACACAUGCAGGCGUAUUUGUUUUCUUGCUUCAUUCUGUCAAACCUUUCCUGCUCCGUGGGCAAGAACCUCCAGCAAAUCCACCCUGGGCCCCCUCUAUUGCUCAUUAGCAAGAAAAUUAAGAGAUGUUUAUUUACACACUAAAAGGGUGAGUGGGUAAACAGGGGGGCUUAUUUAUGAAUUUCCCCUUAACGUUGAGUGCACUUGACAAGUUGGAUAAGAAGAAACUGAUGUGAGUAUUCAGGCUGUGUUUGAAGUCUGCACGGGGAUGUCUGCCGAGGGUUGAGGUGCCACGUGGCUGCAGGGUGAUGGAAGUAAAGUAACGUUUCCAGUGACGCGAAGGCAGGGGGCUCAAGAUAGGCCCAUCCUUAGGAGACCCAUAAUCGCCUACGAUCCUGUACCUUUUUACCCAGGAGAUGAAUCCACCUCUGGAUUUCUGUUUCGUUUUCUACGCCCACAUCGUCUCGAGUGGAAGCUUUUUGAUAGAUCUGGCAUCUUUUGAAUAAUACAUGCUCUGGAUAACGACUAGCACAAAGACCCGUUCAAGUAUUGUUGAUAUGACUGUCUCGCUCUCAUCUUUUGCUAAUUGCCAGUAGCUGCGUCUUACAGCACGGGUGCUGAUGAGAUGAGAGAAGAAACGUUAUAGAUUUACUCUACGUUAUUGCUGGGUGAGCGAGGGUAACUGAGUAAAGGUGUGAAAGGAGGAAGAGAAGGAGCAAUAAAACUUGCCAGGGUGGAGAAAGUUUACA